UACAGAGGUCCCAAGCGUUGUCCGGAAUCACUGGGCGUAAAGGGCGCGUAGGUGGCGCGACAAGUCAGUGGUGAAAGCUCGACGCUCAACGUCGAGUCGGCCACUGAUACUGUUGGGCUUGAGCACUGUAGAGGCUAAUGGAAUUCCGGGUGUAGCGGUGGAAUGCGUAGAGAUCCGGAAGAACACCGGUGGCGAAGGCGGUUAGCUGGGCAGUUGCUGACACUGAGGCGCGACAGCGUGGGGAGCAAACAGGG
rnacentral:rRNA from 1 species